GACGAGGGGUCCUAGCGUUGUUCGGAAUCAUUGGGCGUAAAGCGUGUGUAGGCGGCCUUGCAAGUCAGUUGUGAAAGCCCCGGGCUCAACCCGGGAAGUGCUUCUGAUACUGCUUGGCUUGAGUACUGGAGAGGAUAGUGGAAUUCCUGGUGUAGUGGUGAAAUGCGUAGAGAUGUGGAGGAACACCGAUGGCGAAGGCAGCCCCCUGGGUCAAGAUUGACGCUCAUCGACACGAAAGCGUGGGGAGCAAACAGG
rnacentral:rRNA from 1 species